GUUCCUGUAGCGAAUUGAUAUCGCAUUAGACUUCUAAUCCAAAGGUCGUGGGUACGAAUCCCACCUGGGAUG